rnacentral:lncRNA from 1 species
CACCACCAGAAGCACCUGUAGAGACUUUAUUCCUCAGCCCCUCAGCUGAAUCACAAAUGACAGAACGAGCUGAAGAUGUAAUGACCCUUGAGGUGCUCAGGGAGAAGAUAUAGGAAGUGUCAUGAGAAGUUGGAGAGAAACACGAAGCAGCACAGAUGUAAGCCAUCUCCCAGUGUGUCGAUAUCUUUCUGGCGAGGAAGUACCAGCUCUGGAGCUAGAAUGCUGGUCCUGUCUAAAGCCCUGCUAUCUCGUGAUUACGUUACAGCAAAAAAGCAUCUGAUCAAGUGACUCAUGAUUGAAAAGACAGGCAGUGACAGCCUGAUCCGAAUGCACCUUCAUUUCAAAAAUAACUAUCGGGUAUCUGCAAGUCAGCUGGAAUAAUAGCAGUGAGAAGCGGAGAAGGCAGCACGGCUCCAAGCGGGGUCAGGGAGCUUUCGUGCCAUUCCCCAUCUCACACUGCCCCAGUGGUGUUUUGCUUUGCAGAUCUCUUCUGCAUCUGGUUUCCACCUCCCUGCUGGAAGGGCUGAGCCGAAGCUGGUGGGAAACCUCGUGUCUCUAAGCUUGCCUUCACCAAGGCUGGUCAACAGCACUGGUGAGUAAGGAGCUGUAAUUAAAUAAGGAACAAGCAAAGUUUUUUGGAAGCUUCCUUGUAGGGAGGUGGUUUUUCUUUGUUUCUUUCAUUUUUCUUAAGUAAGAGCACUUUCUCUUCUCAACAUCAGCAUAAUAUCUGCUAGCUUUGAACAAUCCCUUUGUGCACCACCUGGUCAGGUCAAUGAACAUGUAACAGGGGACUGCAGAGUGAGUGGCUUUUUGCCAUCUCGAGCCUAAUGCCA